rnacentral:rRNA from 1 species
GUGGAUUAGAUACCCUGGUAGUCCACGCUGUAAACGAUGAUUACUGGUUGUGUGCGAUACACAGUGCGCGACUGAGGGAAACCAUUAAGUAAUCCACCUGGGGAGUACGUUCGCAAGAAUGAAACUCAAAGGAAUUGACGGGGGCCCGCACAAGCGGAGGAACAUGUGGUUUAAUUCGAUGAUACGCGAGGAACCUUACCUGGGCUUAAAUGUAGAGUGCAUGACUUGGAAACAGGUCUUUCCUUCGGGACUCUUUACAAGGUGCUGCACGGUUGUCGUCAGCU